GCGAUACAGGGUGACAGCCCCGUACACAAAAAUGCACAUGCUGUGAGCUCGAUGAGUAGGGCGGGACACGUGGUAUCCUGUCUGAAUAUGGGGGGACCAUCCUCCAAGGCUAAAUACUCCUGACUGACCGAUAGUGAACCAGUACCGUGAGGGAAAGGCGAAAAGAACCCCGGCGAGGGGAGUGAAAAAGAACCUGAAACCGUGUACGUACAAGCAGUGGGAGCCUCUUAAUGGGGUGACUGCGUACCUUUUGUAUAAUGGGUCAGCGACUUAUAUUCUGUAGCAAGGUUAACCGAAUAGGGGAGCCGAAGGGAAACCGAGUCUUAACUGGGCGUUAAGUUGCAGGGUAUAGACCCGAAACCCGGUGAUCUAGCCAUGGGCAGGUUGAAGGUUGGGUAACACUAACUGGAGGACCGAACCGACUAAUGUUGAAAAAUUAGCGGAUGACUUGUGGCUGGGGGUGAAAGGCCAAUCAAACCGGGAGAUAGCUGGUUCUCCCCGAAAGCUAUUUAGGUAGCGCCUCGUGAAUUCAUCUCCGGGGGUAGAGCACUGUUUCGGCAAGGGGGUCAUCCCGACUUACCAACCCGAUGCAAACUGCGAAUACCGGAGAAUGUUAUCACGGGAGACACACGGCGGGUGCUAACGUCCGUCGUGAAGAGGGAAACAACCCAGACCGCCAGCUAAGGUCCCAAAGUCAUGGUUAAGUGGGAAACGAUGUGGGAAGGCCCAGACAGCCAGGAUGUUGGCUUAGAAGCAGCCAUCAUUUAAAGAAAGCGUAAUAGCUCACUGGUCGAGUCGGCCUGCGCGGAAGAUGUAACGGGGCUAAACCAUGCACCGAAGCUGCGGCAGCGACACUAUGUGUUGUUGGGUAGGGGAGCGUUCUGUAAGCCUGUGAAGGUGGCCUGUGAGGGUUGCUGGAGGUAUCAGAAGUGCGAAUGCUGACAUAAGUAACGAUAAAGCGGGUGAAAAGCCCGCUCGCCGGAAGACCAAGGGUUCCUGUCCAACGUUAAUCGGGGCAGGGUGAGUCGACCCCUAAGGCGAGGCCGAAAGGCGUAGUCGAUGGGAAACAGGUUAAUAUUCCUGUACUUGGUGUUACUGCGAAGGGGGGACGGAGAAGGCUAUGUUGGCCGGGCGACGGUUGUCCCGGUUUAAGCGUGUAGGCUGGUUUUCCAGGCAAAUCCGGAAAACCAAGGCUGAGGCGUGAUGACGAGGCACUACGGUGCUGAAGUGACAAAUGCCCUGCUUCCAGGAAAAGCCUCUAAGCAUCAGGUAACAUCAAAUCGUACCCCAAACCGACACAGGUGGUCAGGUAGAGAAUACCAAGGCGCUUGAGAGAACUCGGGUGAAGGAACUAGGCAAAAUGGUGCCGUAACUUCGGGAGAAGGCACGCUGAUAUGUAGGUGAAGCGACUUGCUCGUGGAGCUGAAAUCAGUCGAAGAUACCAGCUGGCUGCAACUGUUUAUUAAAAACACAGCACUGUGCAAACACGAAAGUGGACGUAUACGGUGUGACGCCUGCCCGGUGCCGGAAGGUUAAUUGAUGGGGUUAGCGGUAACGCGAAGCUCUUGAUCGAAGCCCCGGUAAACGGCGGCCGUAACUAUAACGGUCCUAAGGUAGCGAAAUUCCUUGUCGGGUAAGUUCCGACCUGCACGAAUGGCGUAAUGAUGGCCAGGCUGUCUCCACCCGAGACUCAGUGAAAUUGAACUCGCUGUGAAGAUGCAGUGUACCCGCGGCAAGACGGAAAGACCCCGUGAACCUUUACUAUAGCUUGACACUGAACAUUGAGCCUUGAUGUGUAGGAUAGGUGGGAGGCUUUGAAGUGUGGACGCCAGUCUGCAUGGAGCCGACCUUGAAAUACCACCCUUUAAUGUUUGAUGUUCUAACGUUGGCCCCUAAUC
rnacentral:rRNA from 1 species